rnacentral:lncRNA from 1 species
CAUUUCUCUUUCCUGAAAUAAUUACAUUAUUGCUUCUGUUUCAGGUGGCGGAGAGUAUAUUUCAGAUCAAAAUGACAACACAGUUGAUGCAAGUACGACAGCUCAGAUUACGUCCCCUGUUGUGGCCGUAGUUGUGCUCUUAGCUGUUGGGACGCUAGCUGGAUAUAACGCUUACAAGCAAAAGAAAUUCUGUUUCAAACCUAGAGGUGGAGAAGAAGUUGUUUAAGACAUCAAGCUAAAAACUGAGAAAUAUGGAAGAUACCAGAAGAUUAUCCAUACUUUAAUGCACUAUUGUAUAGAUAAUGUAUAACUCCUU